rnacentral:sRNA from 1 species
UGCCAUGUGUUGGGCUGUACAUUUGCUUCUAAUAAAGAUACUUGGUCUGUUCUUUUUCUCUUUGAAUCGGGUCUUGCUCUUUUGCCAGGCUGGAGUACAGUGGCAUCGCAGUCAUGGCUCACUACAGCCUCAAACUCCUAUGCUGAAGCCAUCUUCCUCCCUCAGUCUCUCAGGCAGCUGAGACUAUGGGUGUGUAUCACCAUGCCCAGCUGGAGUGUAGUGGUGCAGUCUCGCUCACUGCAACCUGCAUCUCCCAGGUUCAAGCGAUUCUCCUACGUCAGCCUCCUGAGUAGCUGGGACUACAGGCACAUGUCCCCAGGCCCGACUAAUUUUUUUGUAUUUUUACUAGAGAUGGGAUUUCACCAUGCUGGCCAGGUUGGUCUCGAACUCCUGACCUCAGGUGAUCCACUAGCCUCAGCCUCCCAGAGUGCUGGGAUUACAGGUGUGAACCAUUGCACCUGGCCCACCAUACACCAUUAUCUUCUCAUAUGCACAUUUCCAAGUGGGUCCGGGCUUAGUUCCCCAAAGUUAGACCAGAUGGAUGGUCUUAUUAACUCUGCCCAUCCUCUAGCAGAAUAUGCAGAAAAGCUGAAGUAGAUUUACAUAUGUAGGAUAAUUGAUAGAAAAGUAAAUACUUCAUCUUCCCAAUUCGUAGGAAAAAUUAAAUUGAUAUUGUUAUCUUCUAUUCUUACCUGUUAUCUCUUCCUACUCAUACCAGAAUACUAGAAGACAAACUCUAAUUUGAAACAAAAUAUCUUAAUUACUUAGAAGUUUUACCUCAAAUUUUUAAAUUAAAAUUCCUAUAAUUGCUUCAGAAGAAUAUUACUGGUUCCUCUUGAGGAAUCUACCAUCUUCAAGGAAUGGUGGGGAGCUAGGUUAAGGAGAAAGCCAUCGCCAUUACUUUUUUUUUUUUUUUUUUUUUUUUUUGAGACAGAGUCUUGCUCUGUCACCCAGGCUGGAAUGCAGUGGCGUGAUCUAGGCUCACUGCAACCUCCGCCUCCUAGGUUCAAGUGAUUGUUCUGCCUCUGCCUCCCAAGUAGCUGGGACUACAGGCAUGUGCCACCACGCCUGGCUAAUUUUUUGUAUUUUUAGUAGAGACGGGGUUUCACCGUGUUAGCCAGGAUGGUCCCAAUCUCCUGACCUGGUGAUCUGCCCACCUUGGCCUCCCAAAGUGCUAGGAUUACAGGUGUGAGCCACCGCGCCUGGCAGCCAUUGCCAUUACUUUAAAACCUUUCCCAACUUGUGCCCAGGUAUCAAUGGCAAUGCCCUGAUGUCCUCAGUAAAUUUGUUAAAGUAUUUUUUUUUUUUUUGAGACGGAGUCUUGCUCUUGUCACCCAGGCUGGAGUGCAGUGGUGCGAUAAUCCGCUCACUGCAAGCUCCACCUCCUGGGUUCACGCCAUUCUCCUGCCUCAGCCUCCCAAGUAGCUGGGACUACAUGCGCCUGCCACCACACCCGGCUAAUUUUUUUGUUUUUGGGGUUUUUUUUUUUUAGUAGAGACGGGGUUUCACCAUGUUCACCAGGAAUGGUCUCAAUCUCCUGACCUCGUGAUCCGCCCGCCUCGGCCUCCCAAAGAGCUGGGAUUACAGGUGUGAGUCACCGCGCCUGACCCUGUUAAAGUAUUUUCUAAGCUUCUUUGAAAACGGAAUCUCUUUGUGGUUGCUGCUGAUAAAACUCCUUUGACCUGACGAUUGCUCUAAGUCCUAAUUGCCAUAUUUAUAUUCCCAUAGUAAGAGUGUUUGGAGAUAGUGUUUGAGCUUUUUUGCUGGUGUUAAAAAUGCAUAAUGAAAGAUGGCAGAGAGAGGCAUAUUAUAUCCAAUUCAUGAGUUGUUUGUGUUAACAGAAAGCUUAUUUUAAUCACUUAACAUUGUUGAUUUGUCUAAUCACAGUAGAGCUAUUGAUUAGGAGCCUGACCUUUAGAUGGUUGACUUGUGAGUGUGUUCAAUAUGGUGAAAUAUGGUGUUGAUAUAUGGCUGCAGAUUUUAGAGGCGUCAUUAGCAAGGUAUAGGAGUAAAAUAGGGGUUAUAGUAUUCCUUACUCAAAUUCUGUAUGUGCUAGAGCUGGCUGGAGUCUGUGGCAUGCUCAUUGGUGUAAGUCGGUAAGGACUAUGCUUUUUGCUCCACAUCUCCGUUGUGGGAAAGCUAGUCUCUUGAGCAUUCUUGAUCAGAAUGGACUGGAAUAAUUUAACUUUCGUACUUUCCCAGGCUAUUAGUAUUAUCUAAUGAGUGGCUUAAAGAUACCAGAAACACUGACUGAGGUCUCCACCUGCUUCUGGCUGAAUGAAUGGGAGCUUCUAGCCAUUGAAUAAGAGGCAGUAGCCAAUGUUUCUUAUUCUGAAUGGUCCAGGUUGACUUUUAUGAGAGAAACACUCAGCCUUUUAAUUGCUGAAGGUCUGACCCAUAGACUAUAAGAUUGCACAUUCUUAGUCUAGGUUACACUUGAACUAGACUGCACCCACUGACGAUAUAUUCAGUUCAGGUGUUAACUCACUUGGAUUAGCAUCUGGCCUGUCCUAUCUCUGAAUAUAGGUUGAGACGUGUAUUGGAAUCUCUGACUAGUCAGAAUAUGUUCUUAGUUAUAUUCUCAAUACUGAGGAAUUUUUACUUGUAGAAACUGAAGGCUCAGAAGAGGAUGAUAAAGAAAAUGAUAAGACCGAAGAAAUGCCAAAUGAUUCAGUCCUUGAAAACAAGUCUCUUCAAGAAAAUGAGGAGGAGGAGAUUGGGAACCUAGAGCUUGCCUGGGAUAUGCUGGAUUUAGCAAAGAUCAUUUUUAAAAGGCAAGAAACAAAAGAAGCACAGCUUUAUGCUGCCCAGGCACAUCUUAAACUCGGAGAAGUUAGUGUUGAAUCUGAAAACUAUGUGCAAGCUGUGGAGGAGUUCCAGUCCUGCCUUAACCUGCAGGAACAGUACCUGGAAGCCCACGACCGUCUCCUUGCAGAGACCCACUACCAGCUGGGCUUGGCUUAUGGGUACAACUCUCAGUAUGAUGAGGCAGUGGCACAGUUCAGCAAAUCUAUUGAAGUCAUUGAGAACAGAAUGGCUGUACUAAACGAGCAGGUGAAGGAGGCUGAAGGAUCGUCUGCUGAAUACAAGAAAGAAAUUGAGGAACUAAAGGAAUUGCUACCCGAAAUUAGAGAGAAGAUAGAAGAUGCAAAGGAGUCUCAGCGUAGUGGGAAUGUAGCUGAACUGGCUCUGAAAGCUACUCUGGUGGAGAGUUCUACUUCAGGUUUCACUCCUGGUGGAGGAGGCUCUUCAGUCUCCAUGAUUGCCAGUAGAAAGCCAACAGAUGGUGCUUCCUCAUCAAAUUGUGUGACUGAUAUUUCCCACCUUGUCAGAAAGAAGAGGAAACCAGAGGAAGAGAGUCCCCGGAAAGAUGAUGCAAAGAAAGCCAAACAAGAGCCGGAGGUGAACGGAGGCAGUGGGGAUGCUGUCCCCAGUGGAAAUGAAGUUUCGGAAAACAUGGAGGAGGAGGCUGAGAAUCAGGCUGAAAGCCGGGCAGCAGUGGAGGGGACAGUGGAGGCUGGAGCUACAGUUGAAAGCACUGCAUGUUAAGAGGGGGCACAGCCCUCCUCCCAAGGGAAAGUGUUUUUGUAUAUAAUGUAUUUUUUCACUUUUGGAGGAUUCUUUUUGUAUAACUUCAAUAAAGAUUGUAAGC